UGGGCGUAAAGAGCUCGUAGGUGGUUUGUCGCGUUGUUCGUGAAAACUCACAGCUUAACUGUUGGCGUGCGGGCGAUACGGGCAGACUAGAGUACUGCAGGGGAGACUGGAAUUCCUGGUGUAGCGGUGGAAUGCGCAGAUAUCAGGAGGAACACCGGUGGCGAAGGCGGGUCUCUGGGCAGUAACUGACGCUGAGGAGCGAAAGCGUGGGGAGCGAACAGGAUUAGAUACCCUGGUAGUCCACGCCGUAAACGGUGGGUACUAGGUGUGGGUUCCUUCCUUGGGAUCCGUGCCGUAGCUAACGCAUUAAGUACCCCGCCUGGGGAGUACGGCCGCAAGGCUAAAACGCAAAGGAAUUGACGGGGGCCCGCACAAGCGGCGGAGCAUGUGGAUUAAUUCGAUGCAACGCGAAGAACCUUACCUGGGUUUGACAUGCACAGGACGCCGGCAGAGAUGUCGGUUCCCUUGUGGCCUGUGUGCAGGUGGUGCAUGGCUGUCGUCAGCUCGUGUCGUGAGAUGUUGGGUUAAGUCCCGCAACGAGCGCAACCCUUGUCCUAUGUUGCCAGCGGGUUAUGCCGGGGACUCGUAGGAGACUGCCGGGGUCAACUCGGAGGAAGGUGGGGAUGACGUCAAGUCAUCAUGCCCCUUAUGUCCAGGGCUUCACACAUGCUACAAUGGCCGGUACAAAGGGCUGCGAUGCCGUGAGGUGGAGCGAAUCCUUUCAAAGCCGGUCUCAGUUCGGAUCGGGGUCUGCAACUCGACCCCGUGAAGUCGGAGUCGCUAGUAAUCGCAGAUCAGC
rnacentral:rRNA from 1 species